GACAGAGGGUGCAAACGUUGUUCGGAAUUACUGGGCAUAAAGCGCACGUAGGCGGUCCACUAAGUCAGGUGUGAAAUCCCCCGGCUCAACCGGGGAAUUGCGCCUGAUACUGGUGGGCUCGAGGUCGAUAGGGGUGAGCGGAACUCCAGGUGGAGCGGUGAAAUGCGUAGAUAUCUGGAGGAACACCGGUGGCGAAGGCGGCUCACUGGAUCGAAUCUGACGCUGAGGUGCGAAAGCUAGGGUAGCAAACGGG
rnacentral:rRNA from 1 species